GUGCGCACUUCAGCAGCAGCACAUAUACUAAAAUUGGAAGGAUACAGAGAAGAUUAGCAUGGCCUCUGUGCAAGGAUGACAUGCAAAUUCGUGAAGUGUUCCAUAUUUUU
rfam:Pteropus alecto contig93082, whole genome shotgun sequence.